rnacentral:lncRNA from 1 species
CCCUUGCCCAGCGUGCUCCCUCCUCUUCAUCCAGCUGGCUUCUCCUCAUCUGAGUCUCAGUGGAACGUCAAGACCAUCCUUGACUCGCCCACCUGCUGCUAACCUCUCCCUCACAUCACACUAUGUGAAUGGUCUCUAUGGCAUUUAUCCUGAAUGCCGGUUUUCUUCUUAGUUUAUCUGCAUUUGAUUUUGCCUGUCCCCGGGACCAGAAUGUCAGCCCCACGAGGGCAGAGGCAUCUGUCUUCAUCCCCUGUGCUGAGAACAGCACCUGGCACACAGUGGACACACGGCAGAGGGACAUUGAAUGGUCAGUGACCUCUCUGCACCUCACCUCCCCAUCUGACACUGUUUCCCAAAGGGAUCUCCAGCAAUUCGGGGAAAAAAGGAGAAGAGAUGGAGGAGAAAAUGAUCCCCAGGAAAUGCCAAAGAGGUGAAGUCUCAGAAAGGAAGACCUUCUGUUUCCAGGAGCUGUUUCUGGUGUCAGAAGUGGAAUCUAAAGAAGAUCCCCUGCCCCAACAACUCUGAGGCCGGUGACCAAAUCAAGGUGCCGGUACCUACAGAGCCCUGUGAGCUCACUGCUUUCUCACCAACCAUGGAGUUCAUAGGUUAAGUCUGUCUUGGAUUUGAGCUCUGUUCUUUUUGCAUUUUGAGCCCUCUGACUUUAUUGUGCAUGCUUAUAUUUUAUGUAUUGAAGCUUCUGGUUAAGUCACCCUAUCCCGUUCAAGAGAGGGCAAAAUGUGUGAUUCCAUUUGUUUUGGAACAGCCGUUGAAAACAGAACCCCUCAUAGUUAAGAUGUUUUAGGGAAUCUAAAGUCAAAGAUGGGUUCGACCUGGUCUAAAAUUCUUUCUCUACCUCCCUUGAAAAUUCCUCCUUCCUAAAUGUAUGGCCACUAUGAACCAGGAUUUUGUGCCUUUUUGGGAAAUGGUUAAACUUUUGGAUAAUUUGGAAUGAUAAUGGUCAUUUUGGAGAAACUUUAACUUAGAUAAGAUAGUUCACCUUAAGCGGCACUCUUGAAGAGAGAGGAUCCGAAACCUCUCAGAGACAGUGGAAUGCGUUCUUUGAUUGUUGUGCAGGAGCUCCUAAAAGACAAAAUGAUUCCAAAGAUAGCUUCUCUAAAAGAAUGCAAAUAAAAAAGGAUGCAAAUGAAAAAUCUUUAGUAAAAAUCUUGGUCCAUCUGAGCAGGUAACCUUAGUCUAUCCACCAGAAAUACUAUUUGGAUCCAGCUGUUCUUUCAGGUUUUGU